UAUUUGAUAUUGUUAUCUUGAUUAAACAUUAAUUAGCAAAAACCCAUUGACAGAAGCAACACUACAAUGACAAAGUGCAAACCCUUUCGUCCGCCAGGUGUCACUUAAAGACUCAACUUAUAGGUUUAGUGUGGGAUUUGGAUGUUCAUUUGGGUCUGGUGCUGGUCUUCAGUUGGUGUUGGCUUAUAUUUCAUCCUAAUUGGCAAGGUAUCUCUAUGCCUAGGCAACUGAAGAGGAGAAUAAAAGCAAGCUAACUAUGAGCUCAUUUCUUGUGGAUGAGUUGCUUUCGAUUCCUCUGUGUUUGUGUCUAAAAACAAUGAAUUGACAAGCUGAACUCACUUCACCUUCGAGAAACUCAUUCCCACUGAAAAGCAUGCAGCAAAGAAGCGUGCAGAAGACCAAAGGGAAAUCACAAAACAGAAGUGCGUAAAAUCCAUUCCCCAGUUUUGCAUAAUCAAAAAGGUAUGAGGCUUGUUGAUUCCUUGUAGAUGGUCAGUUCAGGUUUGACAAUGGAAGAGAUAGUGAAAAAAUUUCAGUCAAAAUUCAGAAAAGUUAGGGAAGAAAUGAACAAAUGGAAUGAGCUUCAAUCCUGCUUAAUUUCACAGUUUAGGAAUGCUUCCCAUAUUGUUGAAAGGUUGCAGGUGCUUCAAAAUUCAAACAAUUAUGGAGUUCUAAAUUGUGUCAGUGGCACCAGAGAUGCUCUUUUGGAAAAGCAGUUUGAAUCUUUCAGGAACAUUUUGGUUUCCAUGAGAAAGACUUUGGAAGAAUUUCAUUGUAUUGUCUUAUCUCUUGACAAAAUUCACCAUGAUAGUAGACAACUAGUGAAAGGCAGUUAUUCUCACCUGACCAUGAAACAACUGCAGCAGCAAGUUGGCAUCAAACCUACUCUUAUUUAUUGCUUGGAUAGCCUGAUCUUUAUACAUGAGAUUUACAACUCUGAAACUUGGAAGAUUGACAGGAAGUCUAAUGAUCAAGUGUGAAGGGUUGCAUGUCAAUGUGUUCUACUCUGCCCCACCUUGUCCCCUAAACCAAAUAUUUUACCAGUCUUUUAGCGUUGGAGAAUUGGAGAUUUUAUGAUGAGGAUAAAAUUCUAUAAUGGAGUUAUCAAUACCCAAUACGGGUGUCAUUCUCAAGUUCUGAGAAACACGUCACUGAAUGCAAUUACUCUGCUUCCUUCACUUAAAGUUUGUUAUGCAUCCAUAUCUGGUAUUUGUUAAAAUCAUCAUUGAUCUCAGCACUAUCAGAAAUGGCCUUAAACCCCAGUGGCAGUGAUCUUGGUGCACUUCAGCAACUCUUGGUUGAUCAACCCAAUCUCCAUACUGAGGAAGUUCAACUUGUAUUUGAUAAGAUAUUUGUUGAAGAAUCGUGUUGAUGAUCCUCUAUCACGGAUAUUGACUUGGGACCGGGAAUGCUUGCCCUUUUAUGCAUAAGGGAGCCUUCAGCCUUUUGAUUCUAAAUGAAUUAAGAUAAUUUUUUGUUACUCUUAUUUAAGGAUUUUACUUUUUUUUUUAGAAAUAUUUUGUUUGUUAAAUGAUUGUGUUUUAGAAAUAUAUUGUCAUAUUAGGAUUUUCAAUUUGAUUUGAAUUGAAUUGAUUACGAUAUGUUUUAGAAAACUAAUAUACGUGUUGGAUUUGGGUUA